AGGAGGAGGAGGAGGAGGAGGAGGAGGAGGAGGAAGUUACGUUAGAUUAAUACUCCUCCCUUCUGUUCGUGUGUUCGUGUGUGUGUGUGUGUGUGUGUGUGUGUGUGUGUGCCGUCAGUUGCACAUGAGACUCAGUGGUGUGUGUACGUCACGUCAGUUCGCUCCCGUGUGUGUGUGCAAAAGUGAAUUUUUAAAAGAAACGAAAAUAAAAACAAAAAUUAAAAGAAUGAAUGAAAAUAAUGAAAAAUAACUAUAAAAACGAUGAAUAACUUAAAUAAAUAAUGGAAUAAAGAAAGCGAUAGAAAGAUAGAUAAAAAGAGUUAAUAGAAAACGGGAGGCAGUGACUGAAAAUAAACAAACCGUGAAAAGUUUAAACAUGAAUAGAAAGUGAAGUGAAUUUAAAGGCAAACUCAAUGAAAGUGAAGAAGCUGAUAAAUACUGAUGAAUGAUUACUUAGAAAACGAAAGGAAUUAGAAAGGAGAACUCAAGAAAAUACCAAAGAAUGAAGAAGAAAAACUAUUGAAAGAUUGUAAAGGAAAACUCGAAAAUGAAGAAAAACUAUUGAAAGGAUUGUGAAGGAAAACUCGAGAAUGAAGAAAAUGAAGAAAAACUAUUGAAAAGAUUGUAAAGGAAAACUGAGUGAUACCAAAAAAUGAAGAAAACGAAGAAAAACUAUUGAAAGGAUUGUAAAUGAAAACUCAAGAAAUUACCAAAGAAUGAAAAAAAAGAAAAACUACUGAAAGAUUGUAAAGGAAAACUCGAAAAUACCAAAUAUUGAAUUAAAAUGAAGAAAAACUAUUGAAAGAUUGUAAAGAAAAACUCGAGAAAAUACCAAAAAAUGAAGAAAAUGAGAAAAACUAAUUAAUUGAUAAAACAAAUAGAAUAUGGAAGAAUUGUGAAGGGAAACUCAAAAAUACCAAAGAAUGAAGGAAAUUAAGAAAAGCUAAUAAAUGAUAACUUAGAAAACGAAAGAAAUAUGAAGGAAAACUCAAGAAAAUACCAAAGAAUAAGGAAAUGAAAGAAAACUGAUAAAAGAUAACUUAGAAAACGAAAGAAAUAUGAAGGAAAAC